GAUGAACGCUGGCGGCGUGCCUAAUACAUGCAAGUCGAGCGAACAGACGAGGAGCUUGCUCCUCUGACGUUAGCGGCGGACGGGUGAGUAACACGUGGAUAACCUACCUAUAAGACUGGGAUAACUUCGGGAAACCGGAGCUAAUACCGGAUAAUAUAUUGAACCGCAUGGUUCAAUAGUGAAAGACGGUUUUGCUGUCACUUAUAGAUGGAUCCGCGCCGCAUUAGCUAGUUGGUAAGGUAACGGCUUACCAAGGCAACGAUGCGUAGCCGACCUGAGAGGGUGAUCGGCCACACUGGAACUGAGACACGGUCCAGACUCCGACGGGAGGCAGCAGUAGGGAAUCUUCCGCAAUGGGCGAAAGCCUGACGGAGCAACGCCGCGUGAGUGAUGAAGGUCUUCGGAUCGUAAAACUCUGUUAUUAGGGAAGAACAAAUGUGUAAGUAACUAUGCACGUCUUGACGGUACCUAAUCAGAAAGCCACGGCUAAUUACGU
rnacentral:rRNA from 1 species